CGGAGCUUCUCCGUCAGCAGGAUGUUCGAGGCCUUAACGUCUCUGUGGAUGAUCGGGUGAUCUGCCAGGUCAAACAAACCAAAAGAAUCACAUUUACAAGUUGUAAUGCAUCAGAUAAUUGUGCUAGUUGAAGUUUGUCAAUGAUUGACAGAUCCUAUCUCAAAGGUCUGCCAUGUCUAAGAAGAUUAUGAUAUGUAGGUAAAAGGAGGGAUCCUGGAAAUAAGGUAAGAAUAAGUUGUUAAAACAAGGGUCUAGUAGAGAAGAACUAUUUUAUCUUUACACCGUGUUAACUAGUGAUACAAUUUUUCCAAAACCUCCUAGGUGGGAUUGACUCAAUUGGGAAAUCUUUCAAAAAUUCCCCACUAAGAUCACCUUCUAUUUUAGAAUUAGCACCAUUAGGUUGUGAUCGGCUUACAGACAUCUUGUGUCUCAUUCUUGUUACAUGGUAUAAGUGCUGGCGGGGCGUAAAUCCCUGCACCUCGUAUAACUUACCUCUCAUCCACUUGUUUCCUCAAUCACCGUGAUUUACCUCCUUCGCGUUGUCCUGGGCUGGGCUGACAGGGGUGUUGGGGACAAGCACUUCACCUUUUUACCACUUGUUACAUGGUAUAAACAUAUUAUCAUAUAGGAAUGCAUGUACUUGCAUAACUUAAUUAGGCAAAUUUAGUUCUCUUGUCAAUUGUAUUGAGUAGGUAAAAUUGGUUAUUAGAGCAACUAUUGGUAAAGGGUGAACAAACACCAAGGAAGGGCAAAUUAAAAGACCUUUUUAUUGUACUCUUAUUCUUCUUUCUCUUGUUCUUCCACUUCCAAAUCCAGUUCUUCUUCCUCUUUCUUCCUCUUUCUCCCUAUUCAAUGUCAAGCUAUGCCCAUCGUAGAGUAUCAUCCCCGUUAUCUGCCAUAAGUGAACUCCCUUUAACAUUCUAUCCCGCCAAAAUCUAAGCAUGUCCUUCUAUUGGGCUGAACAUGUGCCCACUGUCUAUUAGUUCACCACCUAGUCUGUCACCAAUGUUUCGACUAGCUCAAAUUUCUAUUUUCACAUAAUAAUUAUUUCCAAUAGCUUGUGGAUCAAGACUUACUAGACUUGGCGGUUCUUCGCUAUCUAUCCAAGCUCGCCUACCAGCCCUACCUUCCGCAUCAUGUGCCGAUGUGACAAAAUCACAUCAGAUGCUUGGUAUACCUAGGUCAGUAAACCUGCUUGUGCUUUGAAGCAGGUUGCCAUGGGAUUCACCUUAAGCCGAGUCCUUUUUCAAAAUAGGCACAACCUCAUGCAACAUGACUUUGUUGUUCCAAUAAAAUGUUAUGUGAUUAGAGCAAUUUCAAAUACUAGUAGAUAACCCAUUGCAAUGAUGACAACAAUUAAGCAGGAAGAUGGGCGUUGCAUAUGUGAGAAAGAUUCAAGAAAAUCUUGAAGCACAUAAUAUUCAACGUGGGUCUUCAUCGUCAAAUUUGCUUUCAAUAUCUCUUUUUUUCGGGUAUAUGAAUACUAUGAAAACAAUGCAUAUUGGGAGUUUAAUCUAACAAUCAAUCCAAGAAUUUCAAGGCUGUUAUCAGUUAGGAAAUGAUGGGAACAUACAGGA